rnacentral:miRNA from 1 species
CGAUGUUAUUUGAAAUCAUUGGC